rnacentral:lncRNA from 1 species
GCUGAUCUAUAUAACGGCGACCUUGCUGCCCCAGCUCAGUGCAGCCGCCAAGCUCAUGGCCAUCUCCGCAUCUCCAUUUCCUCGGUCACUAUCGGCCAAACGCAACCAGAGCACACCCACCCAUGGGAGCCUGUUGGUGGAGCCCAUGCAGUUUCGCAUCUGCACAAGGCUGGCCUCCUGCAGGCAACCCUUCAAGGCUGCCCUUUCCUGGGUCAUCGUAUGUUCAGCGUGAGAGAUGCCAUUCCAAAGGUUCAGAGCCGUGUGGCCUGUGGACUUGGGGGUGGGGGACACACCCCCUCCUUCCCUCAACCUCCCUCCCACCGCCUGCUGCCAAGGGCCGCCAAGAGAAAUGUGGGCAAACCACACGGACCACCCCAGGCCUCCCAAGGGCACUUGGGGGUGAUGCCAGCCCCAGGAAGGAGUCCUCAAUAAAGAUCCAAGAUACCAAGCUCACCCCAGGACCUCUGUGCCUGCAGCUACUUGUGCCUGGAAUGCUUCCCUUCAUUUCCCU